AGGAAAGGUCUUUGACGAUAUUUCUAUGACGGGUUGCAUUUUCAAGUCCGAAUGUCAAUGCAAGCGUGACAAAAUCUACAACUCUGGAGAGACGUACAAACAAGGUCUAGAGAUAUGCAAGUGCAAUGAGGGAAAAUGGAGCUGUGAAAACCUUCUAACAUCAGCUCAAUGUUCAGUUGAAGAAGGUUCACAUGUCACUACUUUUGAUGGGAAAUCUUACACCUUCCAUGGAGACUGUUCCUACACUCUGGUCAAUGUGAAAAGCCAGGUGAAUAACAUAAAGGUGAUGUAACAGAAGGCAUAGUUUUGCAUAAAACAAGUCUUAAAUCACCUGUAACUACCUUUCAGGUUGGUUCAAGUAAAGCAUUCAGGAUCAUUGCUCAGCUGGAACCAUGCACACACCUACAGUAUGACAUCUGCCUAAAGACCCUUAAAUUCCUGCUGAACAACGACAGAAACAAUAUUCUGGUAUUCAAUGCAGACGGAACAGUUGAGCAGAAUAUGCAGCCAGUAACUCUGCCUUAUCAGUCAGGUGAGUCAAAAAAUAGGAAACUGAAUGCAACAUUAUAAAAGUAAAUGGAGAUUUUAAAACAAUCUAUUUGGUUUUUGUGUUUUGGUUUUUUUUUUAUGUAGGAGAUAUCGACAUAUUUGAAGUUUCAUCCUUUCACAUAAUGCUCCAGACCAGUUUUGGGUUGCAAAUUCAGAUCCAGCACACCCCCGUCAUGCAAGUCUACAUUAGCUUGGAAAAGAAUUACAAGGGAAAUACCAGUGGUAAGUUUUAAAAUGAUCUAAAAUAUCCACUUUUUCAUCAUAAAAUAUAUGUUCAGAACAAUAAAAUGUAGUUGCUACAGUUUGAUGUUUUGUGGAGAUAAUUGUGCCAUUUUAUGUUACAGCUAAAAAAAAUCCUGUAAUGGAAAUGUUUACUUUCCAGGUCUAUGUGGGGACUUCAACAAUAUUCUCUGUGAUGACAUGAGGACCUCUCAGGGCAUAGUGGAAGGAACAGCGGUCUCUUUUG